GCUGGGCAUGGUGGCACAUGCCUGUAAUCCCAGCUACUCGGGAGGCUGAGGCAGAAGGAUCGCUUGAACCCAGGAGGCAGAGGUUGCAGUGAGCCGAGAUCAUACCACUGCACUGCAGCCUGGGUGACAGAGCAAGACUCUGUCUCAA
ensembl:misc_RNA Metazoa_SRP Metazoan signal recognition particle RNA